ACAAAGGGGGAACUCAAAAAUCAUAAAAAUAAAACCCAGAGUUUAGAAAGUCAGUUGGUCAUCCCCAGAGAAGUCUGGAAUUCUGGAAGCAAAGUCGAGUGCACACUUUCUCAUUUCUGCUCACUUUUCCCAAAGAAGAAGGCAAUCAUCCAAAACAAUAAAGAUUCAAACAAAAUUAAAGCUCCAUCUCUCUCCUGGGUUGCCCUGUCACCAACACAACUGAUGCAACCGACUUCCCAAGCUGUAGCCUGGGUGGAAUGCAAAGCCUCCGGAUUCUUCCCAGAGGAAAUAUUGUUCAGGUGGAAGAAGAAUGACAGCUAUGUCAAUGCCUCUGAGUACAUCACAGGGGUUCCAGCAGCUAAAGAUGGAAGCCCCACCUUUACUACACAAAGCAUCUUGAAAAUCCCAUCCUCUGAAUGGGAAAGCAGAAUCCAGUAUACAUGUGUGGUGGGUCACGAAUCCUCCCCUAACAUGUACAAUCUCAGUAA